UACAGAGGUCCCGAGCGUUGUUCGGAUUCAUUGGGCGUAAGGGGUGCGUAGGUGGCGCUGUAAGUGGGGUGUGAAAUCCCGGGGCUUAACUCCGGAACUGCAUUCCAUACUGCGGUGCUUGAGGACUGGAGAGGAGACUGGAAUUUACGGUGUAGCAGUGAAAUGCGUAGAGAUCGUAAGGAAGACCAGUGGCGAAGGCGGGUCUCUGGACAGUUCCUGACACUGAGGCACGAAGGCCAGGGGAGCAAACGGG
rnacentral:rRNA from 1 species